rnacentral:rRNA from 1 species
GAUGAACGCUGGCGGCGUGCCUAAUACAUGCAAGUCGAGCGAACGGACGAGAAGCUUGCUUCUCUGAUGUUAGCGGCGGACGGGUGAGUAACACGUGGAUAACCUACCUAUAAGACUGGGAUAACUUCGGGAAACCGGAGCUAAUACCGGAUAAUAUUUUGAACCGCAUGGUUCAAAAGUGAAAGACGGUCUUGCUGUCACUUAUAGAUGGAUCCGCGCUUCAUUAGCUAGUUGGUAAGGUAACGGCUUACCAAGGCAACGAUGCAUAGCCGACCUGAGAGGGUGAUCGGCCACACUGGAACUGAGACACGGUCCAGACUCCUACGGGAGGCAGCAGUAGGGAAUCUUCCGCAAUGGGCGAAAGCCUGACGGAGCAACGCCGCGUGAGUGAUGAAGGUCUUCGGAUCGUAAAACUCUGUUAUUAGGGAAGAACAUAUGUGUAAGUAACUGUGCACAUCUUGACGGUACCUAAUCAGAAAGCCACGGCUAACUACGUG